CUGAUUUCUUGUGGUGAGUUGGUGUUG
rnacentral:piRNA from 1 species